GAUGAACGCUGGCGGUAUGCCUAACACAUGCAAGUCGCACGAAAGUUUUUAACUUUAGUGGCGGACGGGUGAGUAACACGUGAGAAUCUGCCUUUAGGAGGAGGAUAACAGCUGGAAACGGUUGCUAAUACUCCAUACGCUGAAAAGUGAAAGGAUUUAUCUGCCUAAAGAGGAGCUCGCGUCUGAUUAGCUAGUUGGUAGGGUAAGAGCCUACCAAGGCGACGAUCAGUAGCUGGUUUGAGAGGACGAUCAGCCACACUGGGACUGAGACACGGCCCAGACUCCUACGGGAGGCAGCAGUGGGGAAUGUUCCGCAAUGGGCGAAAGCCUGACGGAGCAAUACCGCGUAAGGGAUGAAAGGCUGUGGGUUGUGAACCUCUUUUCUCAAGGAAGAAGUUCUGACGGUACUUGAGGAAUAAGCAUCGGCUAACUCUGUGCCAGCCGCCGCCGUAA
rnacentral:rRNA from 1 species